AGUUAGAGUCUCCAUACGGUUUUGAGUCCACCUUGCAAGUGUGGACAUUAAAAACUUAUUAGAAAGGCACCUCAGUCUUUAUUAAAGAAUUUCCACCACAAAUUGGCAUCACGAACAGGAUGGUCGUCUGACUCAUCAACGGACUCUGUGCUUAAGGAUAAAUCUGUGCACAGUCAGGAUUAGUGUCCCUGAGAGACCUGAACCUCCCCUAAAAAGAGUGUGAGAAAUAAAAGAAACCUGAAGGUGGAGUACGGUGUCGGAUCAACGUGCCAUCCGAAGAACAAAGGAAAACCUACACACUCGGAAGGUGACCUUCUGGUGACCCAGACCUGGACUCGACCCCUCCCGGACAAUAUCUGAAUCAAGCAGAAAAUGAUGCAGGAGAGGGGGAGCUGCCGCAAGCCGCCAGCCCUGCAGUGCCAGGACCACUGAUUUUCCUGUCAUGGAAAAGCACCCAUAAAGCAAAUAAUAUACCAGCAUGCAUGUGCAGGUGGUGACUGGACUGUUGAACAGAAUUGGAACGACAUUAAACGAAUGGAUUUACGAAAGAUCACCUCCUGCAAGCAGGGUCCUACAGAACCAGUGACUGAGUAUUUAGUGUGCCUGUCUGAGGUGCACACUGCAAACUGUGGUAUCGAUAAACCACCAGACACCAAUACCAUGUCGCCAUGGGAAGCGCUUUUGCGCAACUGUUUUCUCGAAGGACUGAGAUCUGAGAACAUGAAAAAUCAAUGUGAAAACUGUAAAGCUGUGCAUGCUGAGAAACUGAUGAAUGAGAAAACACAGAAGAAAGAGAAAGCUACGGCUGCGAGACUGCAAGAAUACAAGGAACAGAGCCAGAGAAGGCAUGGGCGGGGCAGAGGCAGGAACAGAGGAAGGAAGAAAAAAAGGCUGCUUCAACUGCGGGGCAACAGAUCAUUGGAUCAGAGACUGUCCAGAGAUUAGAAAGCACAUUAAGGAGUGCCUGUCGCCACCUAUUAAUCGAAAGGAGGAUUGGCUCCCUUGGGGGAGCCGAGGACAGGGGAUGGUGACAAAAGGACACGUGGCUUUACAAUCUGCACCCACAUUUGGAAUUGCCUGACAUGACUAAGCCUUUUGUACAGACUGUGGACGAAAAAGGAGAUUACAUGACUUCUGUUCAGUCUACAGGACCAUGGGGGAAAAUUAAGGCCAGUAGCUUUUUUCUCAUCUAAAUUAGACAGUGGCAUAUGCAAUCGGGGGGGAUGCAUGAUUUUGGGGCGAUUUGCAGGCAAAUCCAUCUCUAACGGACCCCUGGUGGCGGCCCUGUUAGAGGCCGUACUGUUACCAUCCUCUGUCGCUGUGUGCAAAUGUGAGGCACACACUAACUCGAUCCAAUCUCUGUAGGAAAUUGAUGUGCAGAUGCUGCAGCAAAGAAAGCUGCUCAAAAGGAAGUUCAAAACAAUAGUUUUGUUUCUGUUCCACAACCUGACACACACACACACACACACACACACAACUGAUUUACAGAGCAGAGCCACAGCAGAGGAGAAAGCCACCUGGAAGAAUUCUGACUGUUCUAAGGGAGACGGUAUUUGGGUCGGUCCAAACGGUAAACCAAGCCUGCCAUGUCAUUUAUUUCCACAUUAUGCAAAAUUGACACAGUGUAGACCAUGUGUCAAAAGGAGGGAUGUUGAGUAAAAUAAAUAGGUAUUGGUUCACAAAAGGGGUUUUCCCUUUCCUUUUAUGCCCAAAUAUUUUAUAAAAAAUGUGUAAUGUGUGCCAAAUUUAAUGUAGGAAGAGGGCAACAGAUGCCUAUGAGUGCACAUCAGCCACCUGAAAAGCCAUUUGACCACCUUCAAAAUGGACUUUAUUGAACCAAGUAUGCAAGAAGGCAAAAAAUAUUGCCUGCUGAUUGUAGAUAUGUUCUCCAAGUGGGUGGAAGCAUACCCCACUAGAAAAGCGGAUGCGAGUGUAGUGGCAAAAAUUCUAACGAGAGAAAUAAUACCCAGAUGGGGCAUUCCAGGGAAAAUUAGCAAUGAUAAAUGGAACCCACCUUGUGAAUCAAGCCCUAAAAUCACACCUGUCAGUAUUUGGGAAUAGAUAUGACAACACACUGCAUCUACCACCCCAAGAGUGGAGGAGCAUUGGAAAGAGAAAAUGGCAUGCUUAAAAACAAAAUCGGUCAAAUGUUCGGUUGAAACUGGACUAAAUUGGGUUCAAGCAUUACCACUGGUGUUAAUGCAAAUGUCAGGAAACAAAAUGGUUUGAACCCAUUUGACAUUUUGUUUGGCAGGCCCCUUAACACAGGAAUUGGACCAUAAAAAUGCAGCUGUCUGCCUGAACAAGUGUGAGGAUGAAAUGUUGCGUUAUUGUGUAAACCUCUCUGCUGUGCUUUGUGAUAUUCAUAGAAAGGUGAAAGCAGCCCUCCCUAGAGAGGUGAAAGGGAAAAUGGAUGAUCUGGAGCACGGAGACUGGGUGGUGCUAAAGGAUCACAGGCGAAAGAAUUGGAAGUCGCCAAGGUGGUUGGGACCAUUCAAAGUUCUGCUGACAACCACAACCAUUGUGAAGUUCGCUGAGAGAGCAACGUGGAUACAUGCUAGCCAUUGCAAAAGGAUUACAGAAUUAGAGGACAGCCCGUCAAAAGGUGUGCGUUAAACCUCGGCUGGCGACCAAAAGGGGUCUCUUCACCACUCUGGGAAAGAAGGGGGCAUGUACUUUCAGUGGCACGAAUCCUGGCCCCAGUGAAGAAACCAACAACGCCCUGAGCAUAGGAAGGGCCCUCAGUGGAAACAGCGAGGCAAGAUGACACCCCUUAAGCACCAGAAGGGUGGCCCGAGGACAAUCAUGGGCACACUGAUGGUAACUGUAUUGACCCUUAUGGCAACAUGGAUUUAUGAACUAUACAAUUGCAAUAGAUGUGAUAUUACUAUGAUGAUUAUGCUAUGAAUCAAUUUAUCAGGAGGAAAAUUUCUAAUCAUUAGUAUGAGCAUAUAAUGCUCACAGGAGGGAUUGUAAUAUACAUUUUAAUACUAUAUACUGUGUAAAUCACAAUUAUACAUUAAGUCUCGAGUGAAUAUACUGUGUGUUUUUCUGUGUUUCUCUCUGGGUGCAUGACUAAAACUCAUACUCCCUGCACCUGUGGAGACAGAGUGGCCUUGUAGGUUGGAUGUUGGAGCUGGGGGUGGCCGGCCCCAGAAAGAAACCAAUUAUUAGCUGAGAGUGAGUCUGGUAUCAGGAAUGCUGAAUGAUGAAAUCCAGCUGCCUCCUAGGGCCCAUAUAAGAUAGAGAAUUUGGAGGCUCAUUGUUCACCACCAGUCUGAGUUAGAGUCUCCGUAUGGUUUUGAGUCCACCUUGCAAGUGUGUUCAUUAAAUACUUAUUAGA